GUGCGACACGCGUGGCGUGUCUCCGUCUCCAAGCUGUAGGGUCAGCUUGGGGGAUUUCCGCAAGGAAAUCGAACGCUUGGGUAUCCAUCCCCGGGAACCAAAACUCGCCCAGAAGUCUUUUGCCUUCAAGGACUUGCCGCAGCGGCGGUGGCAAUAAAAACCCAAGGUCGUUGAGCUCUCGGCAGCACGACCGCAGGACCAGAACACCGGUCUUGGAGCGCAUCCUAAAACCAACCCCUGCGGGAGAGUCGAUCCCCGCUGGGGUCACCUCCUGCGUAAUUUGAAACAGGAGGUAAUAAAUCAGGAACUGGCGGCCAGCAGGUCGUCCCUGUUCUCCCUUCCCCAAAGGAGACAUGAGCGAAAGCUCUGUCUGUCAUUGUCCAACCACUGCUUGUAUGGAGUGGCAGCGGACUCGUUGUGCGACCAACGGUAGCCUAGGGAAACGUGCGUUGCUGGUAACGGCAGGGUGCGAAGCUUUCCCGACAACGUAGCCCCCGCGAGGGUGCGAAUUCACCGUGAGGUGAACCGCAGAGGGUCGGAGUAGCACCGACCCAAGGCGCUAGGCUGACUGGUACGGGCAACCUAGGUGAACUGCUGAUAAACACCGUAAGGAUUGACGAGCCAAAGCUGCUGACAGGCUCGAACCAAAAGGUACGUGGUCGGUUAUCUCCGUAGGUCGUGGAGAUACGUCGCCUUCAGACCACCGGUGAAAAGGCAGGUCCUAACCCAGUCGUGUGACAGUCAGGGAACGUGGUAAGCCCGUAUCGCCGCCCUCGGGGCAGGGGAGCCGUAAGGCGAACUGUUGGCGGUGCGGGUAUGGGAUCGCAGAGAAAGCGAACGCCAGGCUGUAAUCGUCUGGAUAGGGGUUGGAACAUCACCCCACGGGAAACCGGGCAGACUUCUGCGUGGUCUUUCGUCGCAAGAACUCUGAUUGAACCUGUCUCAAUGAACCCAGGGCUCAGCAACAUCGAGCCCACACAAACCAACCUUGGCGGGGUGCGCGCAUCCCGUCAGGGACCGGCGUGCGCCUUCCGCUCGGGUGGACUAACCAUCAUGAGAGGAAAGCAGCAUGAAAGAACUCAGCCCAUCGGCCGGGUCUGCGCUUUCCGGCGCUCCGCAGCAGUGGCACGACAUCGACUGGUGUCGGGUCCAGCGGAAUGUCCGGGGAAUGCAGGUACGGAUUGCGAAGGCUUGUCGGGAAGGCAAAUGGCGCAGGGUGAAGGCCCUACAACGGAUGCUGACCCGCUCGACGUCGGCCAGGUACCUGGCUGUACGGAGAGUCACUGAAAACCAGGGCAAGCGCACGGCGGGAGUCGACCGCGUGCUCUGGGAUACGCCUGACACCAAGUGGAAAGCGGCACAAGGGUUGAAAAGGCGCGGGUACCAACCUCGGCCUCUACGGCGAGUGUUCAUCCCGAAGUCGAACGGAAAGGAGCGCCCCCUGGGUAUCCCGACCAUGACUGACAGGGCAAUGCAGGCACUCUACCUGCUCGCUCUGUCGCCCAUUGCAGAAACCACCGGCGAUCCGAACAGCUAUGGCUUCAGGAUCGAGCGAUCCACGGCGGAUGCAAUGUCCCAGUUGUUCGUUUGCCUAUCCGGAAAGGCUUCGGCCCAAUGGAUACUGGAGGCGGACAUACAAGGGUGUUUUGACCACAUCAAUCAUGACUGGCUACUGAACCAUGUCCCCACGGACAAGGUGAUCCUCCGGAAAUGGUUGAAGGCCGGCGUGAUCCACAAAGGCCAGCUCCAGGCAACGGAUGCUGGAACACCUCAAGGCGGAAUCAUCUCGCCUACUUUGGCAAACAUGGUGCUCGAUGGCCUGGAAUCACAGCUCAAGCGACACCUGGGCGUGACAAGGGCGAAGAAGCUGAAACUCAAUGUGGUGCGCUAUGCGGACGACUUCGUCAUCACCGGUGUCUCUCCCGAGGUACUGGAGAAAGAAGUCAAACCCUGGGUAGAGCAGUUCCUGGCGGUACGCGGGCUGCAGCUCUCUCUGGAGAAAACGCGGAUCGCCCACAUAGAUCAGGGCUUCGACUUCCUCGGUUGGAACUUCCGCAAGUACAACGGGAAGCUUCUGAUCAAACCCAGCCAGAAGAACGCGAAAGCGUUCUACGGCAAGGUGAAGGAGGUCAUCGAAACCAGCAGGACGGCAAGGCAAGAGGACUUGAUCCGAACGCUGAAUCCGAUUCUGCGCGGCUGGGCGCUGUAUCACCAGCCAGUGGUUGCCAAGCAAACGUUCAGCCGCAUGGACAACAGAGUGUUUCUCAAGCUCUGGCGUUGGGCGAAACGGCGGCACCCGAACAAGUCACUGGAUUGGAUCAGGAGGCGAUAUUUCCGGAUUCACGGGGACAAGACUUGGGUGUUCGCUACCACGGUGCUGGAAAGCAACGGUAAGAAACGGGAGGUCGCGCUGUACUCGCUGGCGAGCACGCCGAUUGAGCGACAUAGGAAGGUGAGUGGGGAAUACAACCCCUACGAUCCAGCCAUGGAAGCAAUAGGUGAAAAACUGCGAACGGAACGGAUGUUGAAAAAGCUGAAGUACCGAACUCAGAUCAGAAACCUAUACCUCUCCCAGAAGGGGCUCUGCUCGCUCUGCAACCAACCGAUAACCAGGGAAACCGGGUGGCACGACCACCACAUCCUCUAUCGCUCACAAGGCGGUGGAGACUCCCUGGAGAACCGGGUACUAUUGCACCCCGCUUGCCACCAGCAACUCCAUGCUCGUGGUCUGACAGUAAGCAAGCCGGCCCGUUAGGGGGCUUUGAAAGGCUUGAGCCGUAUGCGUUGAAAGGCGCACGUACGGUUCUUAGGGGGGGAUGGGCCAGCAAUGGCCCAUCCCCACCCGAC
rnacentral:autocatalytically_spliced_intron from 1 species